UACAUAGGUGGCAAGCGUUAUCCGGAUUUAUUGGGCGUAAAGGGAACGCAGGCGGUCUUUUAAGUCUGAUGUGAAAGCCUUCGGCUUAACCGGAGUAGUGCAUUGGAAACUGGGAGACUUGAGUGCAGAAGAGGAGAGUGGAACUCCACGUGUAGCGGUGAAAUGCGUAGAUAUAUGGAAGAACACCAGUGGCGAAAGCGGCUCUCUGGUCUGUAACUGACGCUGAGGUUCGAAAGCGUGGGUAGCAAACAGG
rnacentral:rRNA from 1 species